AGUGAACGCUGGCGGUAGGCCUAACACAUGCAAGUCGAACGGCAGCACAGUAAGAGCUUGCUCUUACGGGUGGCGAGUGGCGGACGGGUGAGGAAUACAUCGGAAUCUACUUUUUCGUGGGGGAUAACGUAGGGAAACUUACGCUAAUACCGCAUACGACCUACGGGUGAAAGCAGGGGAUCUUCGGACCUUGCGCGAUUGAAUGAGCCGAUGUCGGAUUAGCUAGUUGGCGGGGUAAAGGCCCACCAAGGCGACGAUCCGUAGCUGGUCUGAGAGGAUGAUCAGCCACACUGGAACUGAGACACGGUCCAGACUCCUACGGGAGGCAGCAGUGGGGAAUAUUGGACAAUGGGCGCAAGCCUGAUCCAGCCAUACCGCGUGGGUGAAGAAGGCCUUCGGGUUGUAAAGCCCUUUUGUCGGGAAAGAAAAGCAGCAGGUUAAUACCCCGCUGUUCUGACGGUGCCCAAAGAAUAAGCACCGGCUAACUUCGUG
rnacentral:rRNA from 1 species